rnacentral:rRNA from 1 species
UAGGGAAUCUUCGGCAAUGGACGAAAGUCUGACCGAGCAACGCCGCGUGAGUGAAGAAGGUUUUCGGAUCGUAAAACUCUGUUGGUAGAGAAGAACGUUGGUGAGAGUGGAAAGCUCAUCAAGUGACGGUAACUACCCAGAAAGGGACGACUAACUACGUGCCAC